rnacentral:lncRNA from 1 species
GGACACGAUCUGACUCCUAUAAGGGCCAUAUUCAAAAAGUGGGUCUCCAGGCUUGAAUGUAGUGGCGUGAUCAUUGCACUGCUCACUGCAGCCUCGACACCUCCAAACUCAGGUGAUCCUUCCAUCUCAGCCUCCUGAGUAGCUGGGAUUACAGGCGCACACCACCAAGCCCAGGUGAUUGCAUCCUUUGAAAGCCUGUUUGCAUAGCAGACAAUGAAGCUGAGCAGAGAAAAACAAGAUGAGAGACAGAUGGAGUAGGAGACCUGAGAAGAUGGCUUGAGUCCAUGAAUUCUGGUGUUCCCUAGGCCACAUUUGCCCCCAUCCUUCCCAGAUUUUACUUUCUACUCUUGUCAGUCAUAUCUGCAAGGCUGACAGUUACCAGGGGCUGUGGCCAGGCAUGAGGGAGAAUGUGUCAUUGCUGGCUGCGUUGGUCAUAGCAACGUGUCUGCCUCAGAACAGAUCCAGCAUGGAUGAGCAAACAGAAAAAUGUGUAAGAAGGCUUGUGACUGAAACAGACCAAGGCAGACACUUGAAGAAGCAUCUUUCUUGUGAUCUCCUGGCUGGUACCCUGAAGUCCUGUUAUGCCAAUGGACCAGCAACCCUCGCAGGUAGGAAUUACUGCUAGAAAGACUAUCCUCUCUGCAGGCAAAUUUCUGGAAGGAUACUAUUUUAUGGGGAAAAAUGUGAACAACUGUAGGUAAUUUCACAGUCUGUAGGGCUUGUCUCCUAUUUGUAAUUUCUUACAUGUUUACUCGUGGUGGAAAUGUGGAGGUGGCUAAGGAACAAGCAGGCCCGCUGUGUUUCAGUGGCUUUCAGAGAAGGUGGCGGGAAAUAGUCUCUUCUCAGCAGCAGCUGAAUCCCAGUGUUAGCAGACGGAGCCUUGUUUCUUGAAAGUACAUUCCCAGGGAUUCCCUUGAAGAAUGUGAGAGAUCAGCUGGAAUGAAACUGGAUGUUUUAGGGUCCUGAGGGAAAUGUAAAUCCAGCAGCUUAUUCUCAAGAUGUGGCUCCAGAACCAGCAGCACUGAUUCUUCUAAAGAGUUGAGAGUGCAUUUUAGCUGUGAUAUCUUUGUACUCUUAAGAAAUCCUCCUCAACAAGACAAAACUUGACCAAGAGCAUUCAGUUGUCUUCCAGAAGGCUCCCUUGAGGACUGGGACUCUUCCUGGAUGCACCCAAUUAAUCUAUUGAAACAAGGACUCGUGAUGGCAGCCCCUCACCUGACAAACUGGAUUUUCCCCAGAGAUCAUUUGUAAUGUUUUUCCUGAAUCUUAUUUGUGUUUCCCUAUUAGCAAUGUUAUGUAUUUCUAUAUCGCAAAUCCUAAGUGCCGCCUGUAGAACCUAACCUCCAUUUAUAGCAUGGAACACACAGCCCAUCACGUAUCCUUGCCCUGGCCUUCAGCCUCUGAAUAUUUUAAUAAAAAUCACUCUUUCCUCCUUAAGGACCAUGUUCUUUAAAAGCUUAACACAUAGUUCUUAAUAAUUGGUUGCUUUACUUGAUGUUUCUCUGUUUAUCUUGGCUGCCCAGAAGCUCAGACUUAAAUGUAAGAGUCUACUUACAGUAACAACCUUGUUGCGGAUACAAUUAAUUCUCC